rnacentral:rRNA from 1 species
GUAAUACAUCGGAACGUACCCAGUAGCGGGGGAUAGCCCGGCGAAAGCCGGAUUAAUACCGCAUACGCCCUACGGGGGAAAGGGGGGGAUCGCAAGACCUCUCACUAUUGGAGCGGCCGAUGGCUGAUUAGCUAGUUGGUGGGGUAAAGGCCUACCAAGGCAACGAUCAGUAGCUGGUCUGAGAGGACGACCAGCCACACUGGGACUGAGACACGGCCCAGACUCCUACGGGAGGCAGCAGUGGGGAAUUUUGGACAAUGGGCGAAAGCCUGAUCCAGCAAUGCCGCGUGUGCGAAGAAGGCCUUCGGGUUGUAAAGCACUCUUGUCAGGGAAGAAAUCGUUCGGGCUAAUACCUCGGGCAGUUGACGGUACCUGAAGAAUAAGCACCGGCUAACUACGUGCCAGCAGCCGCGGUAAUACGUAGGGUGCAAGCGUUAAUCGGAAUUACUGGGCGUAAAGCGUGCGCAGGUGGUUCGUUAAGACAGUUGUGAAAUCCCCGGGCUUAACCUGGGAACUGCAAUUGUGACUGGCGGACUAGAGUUUGGCAGAGGGGGGUGGAAUUCCUGGUGUAGCAGUGAAAUGCGUAGAUAUCAGGAGGAACACCGAUGGCGAAGGCAGCCCCCCUGGGCCAUGACUGACACUCAUGCA